GGCCAGAGUGUCUGGAGUCUGUCUGAAACUGAUAAAAAUGGUGAUGGAGUUUAUCCAGAGUCUCGCUCAUAGUCAUUAGAAAAACAAAGGGAGACAGAGCGGAAUUUUAUAAUCAUCCAACACUGUAGUCAUUUCGUAGCUUAAAAACUAGAUUCUAUUGUAGCGCAUUUCAAAGUUUUAUUCCAUGUUUUUCACCAGACAGACAGUUCAUUAAUUCACAGGCAGGAGGAUUCAGCUACACUUAGUGAAGGUGAUUCCGGUGUUCUGGAGUUGUGCUCCCAUGCUGACGGAUAGCAAAUGGGAACCGAAAUGAUGUGUCUGCAGAGAUGAUACAGAUUCCUCCAUCAAAGCCAGGGAACUGUCGGGGUCCGGAUCCUAGCAGAGUGGACACUUUGAAAACGCCGGGAGGAUAGAGUUGAUAGGUUUUAAUGCUUUUAAUUCUAAAGCGUCUGAUCGUCCUGGCGUAAAUAAGUCUCCUUUCAGUCGACACAGUCUUGCUGUCCCUGACCCACCGUGCAUGUGGCGUCCUCCACAAACCUAAUUAAGGCUCUUUAGAUGGGAUCAAGUUAAUUGAAUGCUGCUCCCAUCUUGAGACCCUUUUUUGGAAAAAAUGGCUUCAUUGACAGUCAAAGCUUUAGCCUUGUAUCUCUCUCCAGUCAUCCCACCUUGAAGAUUUCAGUGAAUCGGAGAGACAAAACGGUUUUACGUGCUUGAGUAGACCCUUUUGUUCAACUAACGUAAAAAUAUUUAAUGUUGCUUAAAAUAUUUUCAGACGCAUCUAAUGUCGGUUGGCUUUUCAAAUGCAAGAAAGUGCCACAGGUGCAUUUUCACUUUCACAAAUACCAAGCGUUUUUUUCUCCGUGAAAACUCGCAUUUAGAGUGCCUCUCAGACAUGUCAGCCCACAUUAUAUUUCAUAAGCAUCACGCUUUUUUUCAAAUUAGUUUGUACCCAGAUGUCAGUAACUUUUUUUGAAAAGUAAAAAAACAAUGAAAAGAAAAGGCUUGUUGAUACUUUCUAUAAAUAUUAUUUCUGCACGUUUGAUCUGGAAUCAUAAGUUUUAGAUGAAUGGAUUCUCUUGUUUUUGUAUUUUAUGCCAUUAUAUUAUGCAUUAUUAGAGUGUUUUAUUCUGUUAAACACUGAAAUCCACGAAUUAAUGCUAUAUCCAUGCAUAAACUAUCGCUGAUUUAUUUCAUCUUGUUAAUUUCGUGCCAUUUAAAUGUUGUUCAGUUGUUGUCCUUAAUGGAAGUGUUACUCAAAUGUUUGUUUUUAAUUACCAUUUUACUCAGACGAAGUUAGCAUGUUUGUAAAUAGCCUACUGAAUUUUCUGGGUUAUUCUACUAAAGUAAUCUGAGUUUCAUUUAAGUUAUUUAGUUAGAUGUGGUACAAGAUUAAAUACUUUUUUAUAUCAAUGAUUUCAAAAUUGUACUUAAAAUGUAAUUUUAAUUU